rnacentral:sRNA from 2 species
UGAAAGCGCACCUAGGGUUCCGAUUAAAAUUUUUAUUUUAAUGGCAGGUCCGAGUGGUGCGGAUGUUACAUGAUUUGUAAUGUUACACCGUGGGGAGAAAAGCCCGGACGGG